rnacentral:rRNA from 1 species
GGGGCGCAGCAGGCGCGAAACCUCCGCAAUGUGAGAAAUCGCGACGGGGGGAUCCCAAGUGCCAUUCUUAACGGGAUGGCUUUUCUUAAGUGUAAAAAGCUUUUGGAAUAAGAGCUGGGCAAGACCGGUGCCAGCCGCCGCGGUAACACCGGCAGCUCUAGUGGUAGCUGUUUUUAUUGGGCCUAAAGCGUUCGUAGCCGGUUUGAUAAGUCACUGGUGAAAUCCUGUAGCUUAACUGUGGGAAUUGCUGGUGAUACUGUUGAACUUGAGGUCGGGAGAGGUUAGCGGUACUCCCAGGGUAGAGGUGAAAUUCUGUAAUCCUGGGAGGACCACCUGUGGCGAAGGCGGCUAACUGGAACGAACCUGACGGUGAGGGACGAAAGCUAGGGGCGCGAACCGGAUUAGAUACCCGGGUAGUCCUAGCCGUAAACGAUGCGGACUUGGUGUUGGGAUGGCUUUGAGCCGCUCCGGUGCCGAAGGGAAGCUGUUAAGUCCGCCGCCUGGGAAGUACGGUCGCAAGACUGAAACUUAA